rfam:Bacillus pseudofirmus OF4, complete genome.
AAACAACUACAACCGCGCAGAUUAGGUUUUUAAAAGGCAUAGCCCUUACCUAUAAUGGCGAGUCUGAGUAUAUGA